UCACGCCGGCUUUGUUUUGAUCAGCUUAUGCUGUUCACGAAUGACGAAGAUUAGAAUUUAAAAUACGAAACAAAUGUAGUAAGCAUAAUAAAUUUCUCGAUUUUUUUUCUGCAGCUGAAAGACUCCAGGUAAUUCUAGUGAGUGAGCUGAUUCCAGGUGAAAAACAUCCCCAAAUUGUUGACCUAUUCUGCAAGGUCCAUCGACAUCGAACAUCGCAGAGCACAAUCAGGUGUAUAGGAGAAUUAAGGCAUAAUGCAAGUUCACCUAACGUCGGUUCAUGACUGCCUCCUACCUCUCGUCUGCAUCCAUCAUCCGACAGAUUGACUAGUUGAUCCAUGAACCAUCGAGCUCACUGUGUUAUGUGACCAAUGCCGGACAACCUACAUCAGCCAGACAACGAUAAAUCAGAGUCAUCUUACAAGCACCUGCUCGGUGGGACAGCAGUUCUUUUUAAAAACAAUCCCCAGCCAAUUUAUACUGCAAGCCUACACCUCGAGAAUAUCCCAUUGACCGUACUGCUCCACAAGCUACAUCCUUCACCUUCCUUCAUACAGAUUAAUUCUUUGCUUCAACACCCUAAGCUUGAAUUCAACAACACCUAACCCAUGAUUAAUCUCUAGGAUGCACCGGUCGAACGACGUUUCUUCAGGGAAACUUCAUAUAAAAAAACAUGUGAUUACGCUUUAUACAAAAUUUCGGUAGCGACUAUCGUUGAAAAGAUGUCGUGUAGGAAUAGAACACAUCAAUAACGUUUCCUUUAAUUUGAUUAUAGUUCCAUUCUAUUUUCAUGAUACAGAUAAUGAAAAAUUACACCAUUAUGUUUUCGAAAGCAACGAUGUACUAUAAAUGCUUUGUAACUUGUAGACCAGCGAACGGCAAAGUGCGGCUCGCAUGCAGCUCUUUAUUUUUGAGAUUGCGGCUCUUAACCGUUCAUAUAUUUAGUAGAACUUUCAACAUUUUUCUUUUGAUCUUUCUGUUUGGUAGGCCGCUCUGCUAUAUGAACAAUGAUCAAUCUGUUGGAUGAAAAAUUGCCAAAUCAUCGUGGGGCACAUUAUAGGCACUCGGGACUGCAUGCGGCCUGUAGUUUGGAAAGUACUGUCACACAGCAAUGGCUAGUUAGGGUGUUUUUGUUGGUUCAUCGUAUUAACAUUCUAUAUCAAGGUUGGUGCUAUUGACAGAAGAUAAAAACUAAAAAUGAUGUGGUCCGAGUGAUUACAUUGUACAACGAAUCUCUACUGUCAAAUUACUCUAUAUUUUGCACAAAUUGUACUUUUUUAUUUUCUAUUUAACAAUCCAUUUAAUAAUCUCUUCUUAAUACUACAAUACAAUGAAAACUUAAAUUUAGAGGAGUAUGAAAUUUUUAUCACAUUGUCAUUUUUAUUCCUAUAAUAAAGUCCUAUGUAUUAAAUA